rnacentral:rRNA from 1 species
AUGGCAUUGCAGAUUGGCGGCGGCGGAGGCGGCGGGGGGUUCCGGAGCCUGAUGCGGCGGAAGCCGGUCGACUCCGACAGGGUCCGCGCCGAGGGGCAGCAGCUCGCCAAGGAGCUCAACAUCCUCGAGCUGGUCGCGAUCGGGGUUGGUUCGACAAUUGGAGCUGGAGUAUAUGUUCUUGUGGGAACAGUUGCCAGGGAGCAUGCUGGUCCAGCAUUGGCAGUUUCAUUCCUGAUAGCUGGAAUAGCUGCUGCACUUUCAGCAUUCUGUUAUGCCGAGCUUGCUAGCCGUUGCCCCUCUGCUGGAAGCGCCUAUCAUUAUUCAUAUAUCUGCAUUGGCGAAGGUGUUGCCUGGUUGAUUGGCUGGUCGUUAGUGCUGGAAUAUACUCUUGGCGGAUCCGCUGUUGCCCGUGGAAUAUCCCCCAAUUUAGCCUUGUUUUUUGGAGGACCAGAUAGCUUGCCAUGGAUUUUAGCACGGCAUCAACUUCCAUGGUUUGACGUUAUUGUUGAUCCCUGUGCUGCCGCUCUUGUUCUUGCUGUCACUGCUUUAUUAUGCCUAGGGAUAAAAGAGAGCUCAUAUGUACAAGCAAUUGUGACGAUUAUGAAUGCUUGUGUGAUGCUAUUUGUGAUCAUAGCUGGUUGUUAUAUUGGCUUCCAGAUUGGAUGGGAGGACUAUAAGGUUACUGACGGGUAUUUUCCAUAUGGAGUAAAUGGAGUGCUUGCUGGAUCAGCAACUGUUUUCUUUGCAUACAUAGGCUUUGACACAGUAGCGAGUACUGCCGAGGAGGUCAAGAAUCCACAACGAGAUCUACCUCUGGGAAUAGGAGCAGCAUUGUCUAUUUGCUGUUUCUUGUACAUGAUGGUCGCUGUUGUUAUUGUUGGGAUUGUACCGUAUUUUGCCAUGGACCCAGAUACACCUAUUUCAUCCGCCUUUGCAAAACAUGGAAUGCAGUGGGCAAUGUAUGUUGUGACAAGUGGUGCUGUUCUUGCACUGUGUUCAACCUUGAUGGGCUCACUUCUUCCACAGCCUAGAAUACUGAUGACCAUGGCAAGAGAUGGACUGCUGCCAUCUUUCUUCUCCGAUGUGAACAAGCACACACAAGUACCUGUCAAGGGCACAAUUGCGGCUGGUAUCUGUGCUGCUGCUCUGGCCUUUUUCAUGGACGUUUCUCAGUUGGCAGGAAUGGUCAGUGUAGGCACACUCCUAUCGUUCACCAUGGUGGCAGUAUCGAUCUUGAUACUCAGAUAUGUUCCUCCAGAGGAGGUGGUCCCUCUACCAUCACCUCGGCGAGAGUCAAUGGGUUUGAGCCAAGAAUAUGAUGAGGAAAAGGGUAGGGAUCCACUUGGAGAUGAGAUCUGCGACACAUCUCAAAUAAAGGAUUUGAUUAUGACAGAACCAAUGAAGGACCCUCUUCUCGAGAAGAAGCAACACAAAGGCACGAUGGAUGAGAUGAAGCGUCGGAAGAUAGCUGCUUUCAGCAUAGGGUCUGUUUGUCUAGGAGUUCUGGUCCUCACGGCUUCAGCUUCUGCCACAUGGCUACCUUUCCUACCGCUUUGCAUUGGUUGUAUUGUUGGUGGUGUGCUCCUUAUACCUGGUCUUGUUGUACUCUGCUGCAUUGACCAAGAUGAUGGCAGGCACUCUUUUGGUCAUUCUGGAGGAUUCAUGUGCCCCUUUGUUCCGUUUCUACCUGUUGUAUGCAUCCUCAUAAAUACAUAUCUGUUGAUAAACCUUGGCGGAGAUGCAUGGCUGAGAGUCGGCAUAUGGCUGCUGAUAGGUGUUUUCAUUUACAUUUUCUACGGGCGAACCCGCAGCUCGCUAGUCGAUGUUGUGUAUGUCCCUGUGGCCAAGGCCGAUGUACGCAGGAGUUCAUCUGGUUUCAUGUCCUAG